GAUGAACGCUGGCGGCGUGCCUAAUACAUGCAAGUCUAUCGAACAGACGUGGUGCUUGCUCCUCUGACGUUAGCGGCGGUCGGUUGAGUAACACGUGGAUACCCUACCUAUAAGACUGGGAUACCUUCGGGAAACCGGAGCUCAUACCGGAUAAUAUAUUCAACCGCAUGGUUUAAUAGUGAAAGACGGUUUUGCUGUCCCUUAUAUAUUGAUCCGCGCCGCAUUAGCUAGUUGGUAAGGUAACGGCUUAUCAAUGCGACGCUUCGUAGCCGACAAGACCGGGAGAGCGGGCACGCCUGAACUGAGAGACGGUCAAGACUCGUACGGGAGGCAGCAGUAGGGAAUCUGCCGCGAUGGGCGAAAGCAUGACGGAGAAACGCCGCAAGAGUGAUGAAGGAAUUCGGAGCGUAAAACGAUGUUAUUAGGGAAGAACAAAUGUGUAAGUAACGAUGAAAGAAAUGACGGUACCUAAUCAGAAAGCGACGGCUAAAUACGUG
rnacentral:rRNA from 1 species